rnacentral:snRNA from 1 species
GUGCUCGAUUCGGCAGCACAUAAACUAAAAUUGGAACAAUACAGAGAAGAUUAGCAUAGCCCCUGCACAAGGAUGACAUGCAAAUUCGUGAAGCAUUCCAUACUUUU